UAAUACGGAGGGUGCAAGCGUUAAUCGGAAUUACUGGGCGUAAAGCGCACGCAGGCGGUUUGUUAAGUCAGAUGUGAAAUCCCCGAGCUUAACUUGGGAACUGCAUUUGAAACUGGCAAGCUAGAGUCUUGUAGAGGGGGGUAGAAUUCCAGGUGUAGCGGUGAAAUGCGUAGAGAUCUGGAGGAAUACCGGUGGCGAAGGCGGCCCCCUGGACAAAGACUGACGCUCAGGUGCGAAAGCGUGGGGAGCAAACAGGAUUAGAUACCCUGGUAGUCCACGCUGUAAACGAUGUCGACUUGGAGGUUGUGCCCUUGAGGCGUGGCUUCCGGAGCUAACGCGUUAAGUCGACCGCCUGGGGAGUACGGACGCAAGGUUAAA
rnacentral:rRNA from 1 species